AGUGGGAUAGCUGGGUCAAAUGGUGGUUCCAUUCCCAGAAUUCCAAGUAAUCUCCAUACUGCUUUCCAUAUUGGCUGCACCAAUUUGCAGACCCACCAGCAAU
rnacentral:pre_miRNA from 1 species